UGCGUAAUACAGGAGAAGCUCACCAUGGGCAGUGUUUCAGAGACCAACCAUCUAGUGCAACGACAUUUAGCUGUCCCGAGCAACAAACUGCUAAUACGUCAAAUUUACCCUUGUUCCAUAACUUGACGCCUCGAAGCACUGUAUGUAGGGCUCGAAUGGCUCAAAAUAUGUUCGACAUUUCUGUCAUGAUUUCUGCCUUCUGAUGUGAAAGACUGCACAUCGCAAGGUGUACAUUUGCAGAUUCUUCUAGCCAAACGAAGCCAAGGAACAUGGUUCAUGGAGGCUCACUGUGAUGACAACUUUGCAUUAUGUUGGAAGUAGUUCCAAAAGAGCUGGUGUUUCCAGAACCCGCCCAUACCCAAGCAAUAGUGACGCUGACAGUAAAGAAUACCGGAGCAAAACGGACAGCCUAUCGAAUAAUGACGUCUGCGCCGCACCGGUUUUCCGUGCGUCCGGUAUUCGGAUUACUGAAAAGUCAUGGUAUCGCAUCGAUUCUCAUACAGUAUCGCCCGGCUGAUCAUUCCGCCAUAUGCCCAGAUUACAAAUUCCGAAUUAAGGCAGCUCCUGUGGAUAACGAUCAGUAUAGCGCGAAUGAUCCAAGUAAUUUUUGGAAUAAUAUCCCGCCUGAUCAAAUCCUGAUAACCACAAUCAGAUGCACUUUUCCCCAAUCGGUUCACCAUGCAUUUUCUGCCAAGAAAAUGCCGCUGGCCACCGUUGCCAUCCUGCCACUGGAAGAAAGUUCAACGGCCAAGUUAGAGAUUUGCGUAGGAGCAAGCACCUAUAAUAGUGCACAUUAGUGUUUAGCUGUAUCUGUACUUGUAGAUGUUAAGGGACAACAAUCUCAUUCAUAAUGCCCACACAAAAUAGGGUUGGGAGCUGCAUGAAAAUGCAGCUGAUUCUGCUGGAUAAUAAUGCAACCUGGGACUGGGAAUCCGGAAUUGGUACUGGGAAUAUUUGCACUAUCUUUCACUCGGAGCGUUCCGCUCGGUACUUCCACUGGCUAAUCUAAACUGGGUUCGUUUCGUUUAAUACUUGAUUUACGUCACGCUUCCUUGUUUUAAAAUUAUUUAUGCGAGUAUUUGGACGCUGUAGCGGCGGCGGCGGCCAGCGUAGCUGACCAUUCACAGCUUUUCAAAUGCUGGUUUCUUUCCAGUGCAGGCUUUUCAAAUACCUUCUUUUUCAUGAGUAUUUUUGUCAAAUGUUUGGGAAAUUGCUGCUACGCCCAGAGUUCCAGUAAGUAACCGCAGAAAAACUUUUCUUGUAUGUCGCACAAAACAUACAUGUGACGCAGCUGCCGCAAACAAAGGAGAGAAUCUGCGGUGGUUUGUUAACCCGAAAUUAACCAGUUAAGGUUUCUACUUACUAGUAUUAAAACCGCAUAGUAAAAAAUCUGCGGAUCUGGGAGUGAAAUCUUUUGAAGUUGCUUUCGUGUUCCCAUUCAAAAAAGAAAUCCAUUCCCAUAAAUGAAGUGAAUCCCAUUUCUAACACCAAUUCCCCAUCCCCAGUCGCAGCCAUCGGGCCGAGAUCAUGCUCCUGAUACCUUUCACCAAAAUUACAGACGCGCUCUGGAAGAUAUUGUCCUGCUGCGAGAAGAGAACGUUCGGUUGCGGGAAGAUCUGCAUCGAGUCAGAAGAUCGCUGGCACGCUUGCAUAUUGCUUCUGGAGAUCCUGUUUUCAAUGCAUUUCGUAACAUUCUUCCUGGUUCUGCUACUGCCGUUAUCUUUUUCCCUUAUACAUUGUGGCAGCAACUUGUAACGUGGUUUACAAGUUUGCGUUUAGGGGCGUUUACUGUCUUAGUAUUGUUUUUUUGUGCCGGCAUAUUAACCGGAAGUGUUCUUUACAAAUAAGAGGACAAUGUUUUAAAAUAAUGCUACACUACAGUUGCUGUACGAAGUCGGGGCCGACUGUAGCCGACGGCAAAGUACUGAACCACAUUGCGAACUUGGAAUUGGCAACCCUUAUGUUAACGCCCGAAUACAGCGCUUAAGCUUUAAAACUGCCGGCUGUGA